rnacentral:rRNA from 1 species
UCCUACGGGAGGCAGCAGUAGGGAAUUUUCGGCAAUGGGGGCAACCCUGACCGAGCGACGCCGCGUGAGUGAAGAAGGCCUUCGGGUUGUAAAGCUCUGUUGUAAGGGAAGAAUGGUACUUGUAGGGAAUGACAAGUAAUUGACGGUACCUUACCAGAAAGCCACGGCUAACUACGUGCCAGCAGCCGCGGUAAUACGUAGGUGGCGAGCGUUAUCCGGAAUUAUUGGGCGUAAAGGGUGCGUAGGCGGCUAUUUAAGUUCAUGGUUAAAGUUCGGGGCUCAACCCCGUGAUGCCAUGGAAACUGGGUAGCUCGAGUACAGGAGAGGUGAGUGGAAUUCCAUGUGUAGCGGUAAAAUGCGUAGAUAUAUGGAGGAACACCAGUGGCGAAGGCGGCUCACUGGCCUGUAACUGACGCUGAGGCACGAAAGCGUGGGGAGCAAAUAGGAUUAGAUACCCUAGUAGUCCACGCCGUAAACGAUGAAUACUAAGUGUUGGGGUAACACUCAGUGCUGCAGUUAACGCAUUAAGUAUUCCGCCUGGGGAGUAUGCACGCAAGUGUGAAACUCAAAGGAAUUGACGGGGGCCCGCACAAGCGGUGGAGUAUGUGGUUUAAUUCGAAGCAACGCGAAGAACCUUACCAGGCCUUGACAUGGUCCUAAAGACCCUAGAGAUAGGGGGAUAGUUAUAGGACACACAGGUGGUGCAUGGUUGUCGUCAGCUCGUGUCGUGAGAUGUUGGGUUAAGUCCCGCAACGAGCGCAACCCUUGUCGUUAGUUACCAUCAUUCAGUUGGGGACUCUAGCGAGACUGCCGGUGACAAACCGGAGGAAGGUGGGGAUGACGUCAAAUCAUCAUGCCCCUUAUGGCCUGGGCUACACACGUACUACAAUGGCGAGCACAACGGGAAGCAAGACAGUGAUGUCAAGCGGAUCCCUUAAAACUCGUCUCAGUUCGGAUCGAAGUCUGCAACUCGACUUCGUGAAGUUGGAAUCGCUAGUAAUCGCGGAUCAGCAUGCCGCGGUGAAUACGUUCUCGGGCCUUGUACACACCGCCCGUCAAACCAUGAGAGUUGGUAAUGCCCGAAGCCGGUGGCCUAACCAUUUAUGGAGGGAGCCGUCGAAGGUAGGAUCGAUGAUUGGGGUUAAGUCGUAACAAGGUAGCCA